CCUACGGGAGGCAGCAGUGGGGAAUAUUGGUCAAUGGGGGGAACCCUGAUCCAGCGACGCCGCGUGAGUGAAGAAGUAUUUCGGUAUGUAAAGCUUCAUCAGCAGGGAGAAAAAUGACGGUACCUGACUAUGAAGCCCCGGCUAACUACGUGCAAGCAGCCGCGGGAAUAUGGAGGGGGCCAGCGUUAUCCGGAUUUACUGGGUGUAAAGGGGGCGUAGGCGGUGCAGCUAGUCUGAUGUGAAAGGUCGGGGCCCAACCCCGGGACUGCAUUGGAAACUGUUGAACUGGAGUACAGGAGAGGUAAGCGGAAUGCGUAGUGUAGCGGUGAAAGGCGUAGAUAUUAGGAGGAACACCAGUGGCGAAGGCGGCUUACUGGCCUGUAACUGACGUUGAGGCUCGAAAGCGUGGGGAGCAAACAGGAUUAGAUACCCCUGUAGUC
rnacentral:rRNA from 1 species